UACGUAGGGUGCGAGCGUUAGUCGGAAUUACUGGGCGUAAAGUGUGCGCAGGCGGCGUUGCAAGUCGAGUGUGAAAUCCCCGAGCUUAACUUGGGAAUUGCGCUCGAAACUACGAUGCUCGAGUAUGGCAGAGGAAGGUGGAAUUCCACGUGUAGCGGUGAAAUGCGUAGAGAUGUGGAGGAACACCGAUGGCGAAGGCGGCAUCCUGGACCGACACUGACGCUGAGGAGCGAAAGCCAGGGGAGCAAACGGG
rnacentral:rRNA from 1 species